GAUGAACGCUGGCGGCGUGCCUAAUACAUGCAAGUCGAGCGAACAGACGAGGAGCUUGCUCCUCUGACGUUAGCGGCGGACGGGUGAGUAACACGUGGAUAACCUACCUAUAAGACUGGGAUAACUUCGGGAAACCGGAGCUAAGACCGGAUAAUAUAUUUAACCGCAUGGUUCAAUAGUUAAAUACGGUUUUGCUGUCACUUAUAGAUGUAUGCUCGCCGCAUUAGCUAGUUGGUAAGGUAACGGCUUACCAAGGCAACGAUGCGUAGCCGACCUGAGAGGGUGAACGGCCACACAGGAAGUGAGACACGGUACAGACUCCGACAGGCGGCAGCAGUAGGGAAUCUUCCGCAAUGGGCGAAAGCCUGAAGGAGCAACGCAGGGUGAGUGAUGAAGGUCUUCGGAUCGUAAAACGCUGUUAUUAGGGAAGAACAAAUGUGUAAGUAACUAUGCUCGUCUUGACGGUACCUAGUCAGAAAGCCACGGCUAACUACGUG
rnacentral:rRNA from 1 species